rnacentral:rRNA from 1 species
UACGUAGGUGGCAAGCGUUGUCCGGAUUUACUGGGCGUAAAGAGCGCGCAGGCGGUCGUUCAAGUCGCGUGUGAAAGCCCCCGGCUCAACUGGGGAGGGUCACGCGAUACUGAUCGACUCGAAGGCAGGAGAGGGUAGUGGAAUUGCCGGUGUAGUGGUGAAAUGCGUAGAUAUCGGGAGGAACACCAGUGGCGAAGGCGACUACCUGGCCUGUUCUUGACGCUGAGGCGCGAAAGCUAGGGGAGCAAACGGG